AACGAACGCUGGCGGCGUGCCUAACACAUGCAAGUCGAACGAGAAAUCCUGGGCAACUGGGAGAGUAAAGUGGCGCACGGGUGAGUAACGCGUGGGUAACCUGCCCUUCAGUUGGGGAUAACUCCGCGAAAGCGGGGCUAAUACCGAAUAAUAUGCUGGUUCUCAAGGGAGCCGGUAUCAAAGGUGGCCUCUGCAUGCAAGCUACUGAUGAAGGAUGGGCCCGCGUACCAUUAGCUAGUUGGUAGGGUAAUGGCCUACCAAGGCGACGAUGGUUAGCGGGUCUGAGAGGAUGGCCAGCCACACUGGAACUGAGACACGGUCCAGACUCCUACGGGAGGCAGCAGUGGGGAAUCUUGCGCAAUGGGGGAAACCCUGACGCAGCAACGCCGCGUGGGUGAUGAAGGCCUUCGGGUCGUAAAGCCCUGUCAGGUGGGAAGAAACUCAUCGGUGUUAAUACCACCGAUGCUUGACGGUACCACCGGAGGAAGCACCGGCUAACUCCGUGCCAGCAGCCGCCGUAA
rnacentral:rRNA from 1 species